CAGUCGCCACGGUAAAACGGAGGGUGCAAGCGUUAAUCGGAAUUACUGGGCGUAAAGCGCACGCAGGCGGUCUGACAAGUCAGAUGUGAAAUCCCCGGGCUUAACCUGGGAACUGCAUUUGAAACUGUCAGGCUGGAGUCUUGUAGAGGGGGGUGGAAUUCCAGGUGUAGCGGUGAAAUGUGUAGAGAUCUGGAGGAAUACCGGUGGCGAAGGCGGCCCCCUGGACAAAGACUGACGCUCAGGUGCGAAAGCGUGGGGAGCAAACAGGAUUAGAUACCCGCGUAGUCCCUGUCUCUUAUAC
rnacentral:rRNA from 1 species